rnacentral:rRNA from 1 species
AGAUAGAAACCAACCUGGCUCACACCGGUCUGAACUCAAAUCAUGUAAAGUUUUAAAGGUCGAACAGACCUUCUAUUAUAGUCUCUACUCCAUAAAGAACCUUUAAUUCAACAUCGAGGUCGCAAACUUUCUUAUCGAUAAGAACUCUUAAAAAAAAUUACGCUGUUAUCCCUAAAGUAACUUAAUCUUUAAUCCAUUUUAGGAUCAUCCACCCAAACAUCAUUGUUUUUAAAAAAAAACAGUUACUUUUUUUUCUAUUCUUGUCGCCCCAACCAAAUAUUUUUAAAUAGUAACCUUUAAAUAAAACUCUCCUACUAUUUUCCAAUAUAAAGUUUUAUAGGGUCUUAUCGUCCCUUCAGAUUAUUUAAGCCUUUUCACUUAAAAGUUAAAUUCAAUAUAUUAAUUUGAGACAGAUUAUUUCUUGUCCAACCAUUCAUUCUAGCCUUCAAUUAAAAAACUAAUGAUUAUGCUACCUUCGCACGGUC